UAAUACGGAGGGGGUUAGCGUUGUUCGGAAUUACUGGGCGUAAAGCGCGCGUAGGCGGACUAUUAAGUCAGGGGUGAAAUCCCGGGGCUCAACCCCGGAACUGCCUUUGAUACUGGUAGUCUUGAGUUCGAGAGAGGUGAGUGGAAUUCCGAGUGUAGAGGUGAAAUUCGUAGAUAUUCGGAGGAACACCAGUGGCGAAGGCGGCUCACUGGCUCGAUACUGACGCUGAGGUGCGAAAGUGUGGGGAGCAAACAGGAUUAGAUACCCUGGUAGUCCACACCGUAAACGAUGAAUGCCAGUCGUCGGGUAGCAUGCUAUUCGGUGACACACCUAACGGAUUAAGCAUUCCGCCUGGGGAGUACGGUCGCAAGAUUA
rnacentral:rRNA from 1 species